CCUACGGGAGGCAGCAGUGAGGAAUAUUGGACAAUGGGCGCAAGCCUGAUCCAGCCAUGCCGCGUGCAGGAUGACGGUCCUAUGGAUUGUAAACUGCUUUUGCACAGGAAGAAACAACGCUACGUGUAGCGUUGACGGUACUGUGAGAAUAAGGCCG
rnacentral:rRNA from 1 species